CCAAUAGCGUAUAUUAAAGUUGUUGCAGUUAAAAAGCUCGUAGUUGAAUUUCGGGGUUCUACCGUUGGUCGGGCAAUUGUCUGUACUGGCGUGUGGAAUUUCUACCUUCUGGGGAACCAUCAUGUUAUUAAUUUAGCGUGGUGGGAAACCAGGACCUUUACCUUGAAAAAAUUAGAGUGUUCAAAGCAGGCUUACGUCUGAAUACAUUAGCAUGGAAUAAUAAAAUAGGACGGUGGUCCUGUUUUGUUGGUUUCUGAAUCACCGUAAUGAUUAAUAGGGAUAGUUGGGGGCAUUAGUAUUCAAUUGUCAGAGGUGAAAUUCUUGGAUUUAUUGAAGACUAACUUCUGCGAAAGCAUUUGCCAAGGAUGUUUUCAUUAAUCAAGAACGAAAGUUAGGGGAUCGAAGACGAUCAGAUACCGUCGUAGUCUUAACCAUAAACUAUGCCGACUAGGGAUCGGACGAUGUUAAUUUUUCUUGACUCGUUCGGCGCCUUACG
rnacentral:rRNA from 1 species